rnacentral:lncRNA from 1 species
UGUAUGCGAAGCAGAAUACAUUGCUGCAUCAGUUGCUGCAAUGUUCUACACUGCUAUCAUCUGGUGUGAGAGAUCGUGAAUCAUGGUGACAUCAAACUUCAGAAGAUUGACGAAAAAGAGAACCUAACCAACCCCUUCACUAAAGCUCUUAGGAUCAAAGAGUUCGAGGACUUCAAAUGAAAGAUGGGUAUAAGAUACUG